rnacentral:rRNA from 1 species
AUUGAACGCUGGCGGCAGGCCUAACACAUGCAAGUCGAACGAGUGGCGGACGGGUGAGUAAUGUCUGGGAAACUGCCUGAUGGAGGGGGAUAACUACUGGAAACGGUAGCUAAUACCGCAUACCAUCGGAUGUGCCCAGAUGGGAUUAGCUAGUAGGGGGGGUAAAGGCUCACCUAGGCGACGAUCCCUAGCUGGUCUGAGAGGGUGAUCGGCCAAACUUGGACGGAGACCAGGUCCAGACUCCUACGGGAGGCAGCAGGGGGGAAUAUUUCACAAUGGGCGCAAGCCUGAGGCAGCCAUGCCGCGUGUAGGAAGAAGGCCUUCGGGUUGUAAAGUACUUUCAGCGGGGAGGCGUUACCCGCAGAAGAAGCCCCGGCUAACUCCGUGCCAGCAGCCGCGGUAAUUC